UGGGGAAUUUUGCACAAUGGGGGAAACCCUGAUGCAGCGACGCCGCGUGAUUUAGAAGGCCUUCGGGUUGUAAAAAUCUUUUCUAUGGGAAGAAAAUGACAGUACCAUAGGAAUAAGGACUGGCUAAUUACGUGCCAGCAGCCGCGGUAAUACGUAAGGUCCGAGCGUUGUCCGGAAUCAUUGGGCGUAAAGGGUACGUAGGCGGGUAAGCAAGUUAGAAGUGAAAUCCUGUAGCUCAACUACAGUAAGCUUUUAAAACUGCUCAUCUUGAGAUAUGGAAGGGAAAGUGGAAUUCCUAGUGUAGCGGUGAAAUGCGCAGAUAUUAGGAGGAAUACCGGUGGCGAAGGCGACUUUCUGACCAUAAUCUGACGCUGAGGUACGAAAGCGUGGGUAGCAAACAGG
rnacentral:rRNA from 1 species